CAACCUCAACUCAUAUGGGACUACCCCCUGAAUUUAAGCAUAUUAAUUAGGGGAGGAAAAGAAACUAACAAGGAUUUUCUUAGUAGCGGCGAGCGAAAAGAAAUCAGUUCAGCACUAAGUCACUUUGUCUAUAUGGCAAAUGUGAGAUGCAGUGUAUGGAGCGUCAAUAUUCUAGUAUGAGAAAUUAACGAUUUAAGUCCUUCUUAAAUGAGGCCAUUUACCCAUAGAGGGUGCCAGGCCCGUAUAACGUUAAUGAUUACUAGAUGAUGUUUCCAAAGAGUCGUGUUGCUUGAUAGUGCAGCACUAAGUGGGUGGUAAACUCCAUCUAAAACUAAAUAUAACCAUGAGACCGAUAGUAAACAAGUACCGUGAGGGAAAGUUGAAAAGAACUCUGAAUAGAGAG
rnacentral:ncRNA from 1 species